rnacentral:rRNA from 1 species
UACGUAGGGUGCGAGCGUUGUCCGGAAUCAUUGGGCGUAAAGAGCGUGUAGGCGGCCAGAUAAGUCCGCUGUGAAAUCUCGAGGCUCAACUUCGAGCUGUCGGUGGAAACUGUCUGGCUAGAGUCCGGAAGAGGAGAAUGGAAUUCCUGGUGUAGCGGUGGAAUGCGCAGAUAUCAGGAGGAACACCGGUGGCGAAGGCGGGUCUCUGGGCCGAUACUGACGCUGAGGAGCGAAAGCGUGGGGAGCGAACAGG